UAAAAAGAUAAUAGUUUAUUUUGGUUGCUCCUCACCAGUAGUUUCUGAACAAAUCAGACAACAAAAAAAGUACAAGAAAAUGCAUACAUUUUUUUUUUAACACAAUUCAUUUCAUGGCCAGCCUACUAUGUGAAUACUUUGUGCAUACUUUAAGACUCCAACGACAAUCUCUCCACCCUUGUAGUUAAGGUGUGUGUAGCCAAGUGACUGUGGGGUUGCUGGACACCAGUGAGCAGAAAUCUCAACAGAAAGACCAACUAAUUACCUAUCAGAUAUCAAAACAGAAGAGUUCAUUAGACAGCUUUCUAUUGAUAAUACAUUUUGAUGAAUACUGGUCACUACCGUCCCACUACAGGCCCUGAAAUACCCACAACUCUUUUCCAACACUCAUAUUGUCUCAUUCAGGGAAUAUACAUUAUACACCCUUUGCGUACAUGUAAAAUGAACAAAAUAAUAGUUAAAGUGCUUUCUACUGACUCAAACACACAAUCUCUUUACACGGCAUAUGUUUGAGACUUAAAAUCACUUUACUUUUCAGAUGUCUGUUUUAGCAGAGCUCAGUGCAUGAGAAGAAACAGAACAUAAGACAUGACCAUCAGAUGGUUGGCUUGUGUGUGACCACAUCUGUGUUCUAUGUGAUGACACACACAUCAUAUACACAACUUACAGCGGCAUUCACAAGGUCAUUUACACAACUUACAGUGGCAUUCACAAGGUCAAAAAAUGGUGGUGACAACUGCUGAAGUUUUUUUUACCAAACAUACAGAACCAUCUGUCCAACAAACACCAAAACAUUAAACAAGUUUAAUUAAUAAUAAAUUGGCACUGUUAAGAAACAAAACAAAGUUCUGUUUGUUUUUUAAAAUGAGUUGGUUUCGUAGCUCGUAGGUUAAGGUGCUUGUGUAAACAUUGUUCCACUCUGACCUCACAGGUGGACCACCCAAACAGGACCCACAGGCUCAUAAUGACAUGAUUGUGAUUCAGAUUGCCUUUAAAACAAACCGUAUUAGGGUAUAAACCAAGUUAUUGGGAGGAUACUUAGACCUGGGUUCAAAAACUAUUUGUAAUCAUUUCAAAUACAUACCUUCGCUGGGCUUGCCUGGCACAACGGAACCAACCGAUUCGCAAAAGUCCACUCUAGGCAGGAUAAAGGAAAUGCUAAACGUAUAAGAAAUAUUUAAAAAAUGAUUUGAACCCAGGUUUGAAGAUACUAGUCGGUAGCAGAGCAUUGCAGCUCUCUAGUAUGCACUAGUUUGAUCCACUAGUUUGAUCCACUAGUUUGAUCCAGAUACAGUCUGGUGAGAUAGAGAGAAGAACAGGCCUGAGUGACGUUCUCAAAUAACCACUUCCUGUAUUAGAGGACUAUGUCCUUCUGUCCAUUUCUUUCUCCCAGAGAUUCAACAGGUACACACAGACAUAUUUUGAGACCCUGAAAAAAAUGUUCAUCAUAGGGUGAAUCCUCUCUGCAGAUAAAUAAAUACAGAAAGAUGUUCAUCAUAGGGUGAAUCCUCUCUCUGCAGAUAAAUAAAUACAGAAAGAUGUUCAUCAUAGGGUGAAUCCUCUCUGCAGAUAAAUAAAUACAGAAAGAUGUUCAUCAUAGGGUGAAUCCUCUCUCUGCAGAUAAAUAAAUACAGAAAGAUGUUCAUCAUAGGGUGAAUCCUCUCUCUGCAGAUAAAUAAAUACAGAAAGAUGUUCAUCAUAGG
rnacentral:lncRNA from 1 species